rnacentral:lncRNA from 1 species
AUAUAAGAAUUAUUUUUCUAUGUGUAUAAAAUUUUUGAAAUCAAUCAAAUGGUAUAAAAGAGAGAUAUUGGCUCUGGAAGAUUGGCAUCAAGAUUGGAGAAGGAAAUCGGCCAAUAUCCGAGCACAUUUUUGAGGUUAUCGUCAAUUUGGUAACUUUGAUCCUUUUCAAUUUUUUUGUGCUUGUUUCCAACUUAUUUGUUUAGAAUUGUGCAAAAUUUGAGUUAAGAUUAACCGUUUAUUCAUUAGUUAUUGAGAUUUAAAUCUGUUAUAGGAAUUACUAGGAUUUGGUUAGGAUUUGGAUUAGGGUUUGAUUUAGGGUUUAAGGUUUGAUUUAGGGUAUAGGAUUUGGAUUAGGAUUUGGUUUAGGAUUUUGUUAGGAUUUUAUUUAGGAUUUAGGAUUUGGUUAGGAUUUGAUUUAGGGUUUAGGAUUUAAUUAAGGUUUCAUUUAGGGUUUAGGAUUUGGAUUAGGGUUUGGUUUAGGAUUUAGGAUUUGGAUUAGGUUUUGUUUAGGAUUUGAUUUAGGAUUUAGGGUUUGGUUUAGGAUUUUAUUAGGAUUUGGUUAGGAUUUAAGAUUUAAUUAAUUUAGGCCUAAAGUUUGAAUGAAGUCCAAUAGGAUUUCAAUUAGGAUUAAAUUAAGAUUGAAUUGAAAUAUAUUUGAGAAAUAUUUGUGAUUAUUCUAAUAUUUCUUUAAGAUUUCUUAUUAUUUCUUUGAAAUUUCUUUGAGGUUUCUUUGAAUUUGAUUAAGCUUGUUUAGCAUUAUUGUGGUCCAAUUAGAGCAUUGUU